AUUAAUCCCUGGCUCCCAGGAUGAACGCUGGCGGCGUGCCUAACACAUGCAAGUCGAGCGAUUCACUUCGGUGAAGAGCGGCGGACGGGUGAGUAACGCGUGGGUAACCUGCCUCAUACACAUGGAUAACAUACCGAAAGGUAUGCUAAUACAGGAUAACAUAAGAGAUUCACAUGUAUUUCUUAUCAAAGCUCCGGCGGUAUGAGAUGGACCCGCGUCUGAUUAGCUAGUUGGUAAGGUAACGGCUUACCAAGGCGACGAUCAGUAGCCGACCUGAGAGGGUGAUCGGCCACAUUGGAACUGAGACACGGUCCAAACUCCUACGGGAGGCAGCAGUGGGGAAUAUUGCACAAUGGGCGAAAGCCUGAUGCAGCAACGCCGCGUGAGUGAUGAAGGCCUUCGGGUCGUAAAACUCUGUCCUCAAGGAAGAUAAUGACGGUACUUGAGGAGGAAGCCCCGGCUAACUACGUGCCAGCAGCCGCGGUAAUACGUAGGGGGCUAGCGUUAUCCGGAUUUACUGGGCGUAAAGGGUGCGUAGGUGGUUUCUUAAGUCAGGAGUGA
rnacentral:rRNA from 1 species